rnacentral:sRNA from 1 species
GCUGGGCACGGGGGCUCUCACCUGUAAUCCCAGUGGCUUGGGAGGCUGAGACAGGAGGAUCGUGAGUUCAAAGCCAGCCUCAGCAAAAGCAAGGCGCUAAGCAACUCAGUGAGACCCUGUCUCUA